rnacentral:rRNA from 1 species
GACAGAGGGUGCAAACGUUGUUCGGAAUUACUGGGCGUAAAGCGCGUGUAGGCUGCCUUGUAAGUCGGAUGUGAAAGCCCCGGGCUCAACCUGGGAAGUGCAUUCGAAACUGCGAGGCUUGAGUCCUGGAGAGGAAGGCGGAAUUCUCGGUGUAGAGGUGAAAUUCGUAGAUAUCGAGAGGAACACCGGUGGCGGAGGCGGCCUUCUGGACAGUGACUGACGCUGAGACGCGAAAGCGUGGGGAGCAAACAGG